rnacentral:misc_RNA from 1 species
UGGUUCUGGCAUCGAUGAAGAACGCAGCGAAAUGCGAUAAGUAAUGUGAAUUGCAGAAUUCAGUGAAUCAUCGAAUCUUUGAACGCACAUUGCGCCCGCCAGCAUUCUGGCGGGCAUGCCUGUUCGAGCGUCAUUUCAAACCCUCCCACCCGCCCCGGCGGGCGGGGCGUCGGGGAUCCCCGUCCUAGCAGGCUGGGUCCCUUAGGACAAGUGUAGCGGACCCGCCCGGGACCCGAGCGCAGUAGCACAACUCCUCGCUCCGGAGCCCCGGUUUGGGACACGGCCGGAAAUCUCACCCCAAGUUUGACCUCGGAUCAGGUAGGAAUACCCGCUGA